UCCACGAAUUGAUUACGACGGGCUACAACUAUCGACGGGGCAGACAGAGAAAGAGAAACCCAACGAGAUGCAUGAGAGAGACCCACGACAAGAGAAAGCCGAAGGAGAGAGCAGCGAGAUGCGCGAGAGGCCGGAUGGGAGAGACCCACGGCGAGAGAGAGAGCCACGGCCGAAGAGAGACCCACGACGAGAGAGAGAAAGAGAGAAAACCGAAGGAGAGAGUAGUGAGAUGC
rnacentral:lncRNA from 1 species